GUUAAAACGCUCGUAGUCGGAUUUCGGGGCCUGCCUGCCGGUCUGCCGAUGGGUAUGCACUGGCAGGCGCGUCCUUCCUUCCGGAGACUGUCCCUACUCUUAACUGAGCGGGGUCGGGAGACGGAUCGUUUACUUUGAAAAAAUCAGAGUGUUUCAAGCAGGCAGCUCGCUCUUGCAUGGAUUAGCAUGGGAUAAUGAAAUAGGACUUUGGUGCUAUUUUGUUGGUUCCGAACACCGAAGUAAUGAUUAACAGGGACAGUCAGGGGCACUCGUAUUCCGCCGAGAGAGGUGAAAUUCUCAGACCAGCGGAAGACGAACCACUGCGAAAGCAUUUGCCAGGGAUGUUUUCACUGAUCAAGAACGAAAGUUAGGGGAUCGAAGACGAUCAGAUACCGUCGUAGUCUUAACCAUAAACCAUGCCGACUAGGGAUUGGAGGAUGUCCUUUUUUGACUCCUUCAGCACCUUACGGGAAACUAAAGUCUUUGGGUUCCGGGGGGAGUAUGGUCGCAAGGCUGAAACUUAAAGGAAUUGACGGAAGGGCACCACCAGGAGUGGAGCCUGCGGCUUAAUUUGACUCAACACGGGGAAACUUACCAGGUCCAGACAUUGUGAGGAUUGACAGAUUGAGAGCUCUUUCUUGAUUCGAUGGGUGGUGGUGCAUGGCCGUUCUUAGUUGGUGGAGUGAUUUGUCUGGUUAAUUC
rnacentral:rRNA from 1 species